AACUCGUCAAAAUUAAGCUUAAGCAAUUGUGCCUCCUGAUGUAUCCGAACAGAAAAACGACAUUUGGUCAAUUUCUCGCUCGUUCGGAGAUAGUAAACCCGGAUUCCGGAAUGCUACAGAGUUGCUUUUAUUAUAGGCCGAAACUUAAGUUGGUUUGUCGGACCAGGACUACCAACAAAUUGAGGGACACAGCUCAUUCCUUCAAUCACGACAGCUAUCGGAUGCCGAAUUAGUGAAUCGGGCUUUGAAGCGAUGCCUUUAUCAGUGGUAGCCCUUCCAGCGGGACGAUAAUUUUAACCUGUUCCCGAGGACAUCAGUUACAAUCAAGAUGUCGCGACCUAACAGUAAUCGGCCUUUGCAUUCCUGGUCCCGCCCUUCCGCAGUUCGUAAAUUUUAAACUAAUGCGAUACCAGACGAUCGUGAUGCAGAUUCCGCUUUUGAAGGAAGAUCUGCCCUACAGGAGAGCGGAAAGCAUAAAGAAAAAAACACAGUGUAUAUGGUGU